GGUGAACCGUGUUCAUUGUAUCUCGAUGAAACAGCGCCAACUUAUGGACAUCCAUAAGAAGCUUCAAUGGCAUGAGAAAAUCGAGGCCGAUGGAAAGACAAGCUACUGGCCGUCAAAGAAUGAUCAAGAUGAUGUUCAGAUCAAGAAGAAGAUCAUUGGUGGUACCGGCGUUUACAUACCUCCUAAUCCUGCUCCCAAACUUUAUAAUAGCCGUAGGAAAAAGCCAUCACUACCACCGCCGCCGUCAUCACCGGUUACAUUCUCCGAUGCAUCAUUCAAUGAGAAGGAAGAAGAUGAAAGACUGAUCAAGUUACUGAAUCUCCCCUCAGAAUGGACGUAUUAAUGAUCGUUCUCCAGAAUAAGUUAUAUACUCUAAGAUUUCUUAUUAUGUAGAAUAAUAAUCUGUAAGUUCAGAUUUUUG
rnacentral:lncRNA from 1 species